rnacentral:rRNA from 1 species
CAGCCGCCGCGGGAAUACAGAGGGUGCAAGCGUUAAUCGGAUUUACUGGGCGUAAAGCGUGCGUAGGUGGCUGUUUAAGUCGGAUGUGAAAGCCCUGGGCUUAACCUGGGAACUGCAUUCGAUACUGGAUAGCUAGAGAUCGGUAGAGGGCAGCGGAAUUCCGGGUGUAGCGGUGAAAUGCGUAGAUAUCCGGAGGAACACCGAUGGCGAAGGCAACUGCCUGGGCCUGAUCUGACACUGAGGCACGAAAGCGUGGGUAGCAAACAGGAUUAGAUACCCGCGUAGUCCCUGUCUCUUAUAC